AAGGCUGAACCAGUCGAAGAUACCAGCUGGCUGCAACUGUUUAUUAAAAACACAGCACUCUGCAAACACGAAAGUGGACGUAUAGGGUGUGAUGCCUGCCCGGUGCUGGAAGGUUAAUUGAUGGUGUUAUCGAAAGAGAAGCUCCUGAUCGAAGCCCCAGUAAACGGCGGCCGUAACUAUAACGGUCCUAAGGUAGCGAAAUUCCUUGUCGGGUAAGUUCCGACCUGCACGAAUGGCAUAAUGAUGGCCAGGCUG
rnacentral:rRNA from 1 species